GGGCUUGACAUCCCACGAACCUUCCCGAAAGGGUUGGGUGCCCGCAAGGGAGCGUGGAGACAGGUGGUGCAUGGCUGUCGUCAGCUCGUGUCGUGAGAUGUUGGGUUAAGUCCCGCAACGAGCGCAACCCUCACCCCUUGUUGCCACCGGGUAAAGCCGAGCACUCUAGGGGAACUGCUAGCGUCAAGCUGGAGGAAGGUGGGGAUGACGUCAAGUCAUCAUGCCCCUUACGCCCUGGGCUACACACGUGCUACAAUGGCCGGUACAAAGGGAUGCAAGACCGCGAGGUGGAGCUAACCCCAAAAAACCGGUCUAAGUUCAGAUUGCAGUCUGCAACUCGACUGCAUGAAGGAGGAAUCGCUAGUAAUCGCGCAUCAGCACGGCGCGGUGAAUACGUUCCCGGGCCUUGUACACACCGCCCGUCACACCACGAAAGCCGGCUGUACUCGAAGUCGCUGAGAAUCG
rnacentral:rRNA from 1 species